rnacentral:lncRNA from 1 species
AUCUUGCAAGUGAAUUAUAUUAUAAUUCCCUGUUAGCAUCGCACCGUAAAAAUUUAAAGAAUGAGACUAACGGAUCUUUUCAAAUCAUUUAGACCAUCUGUGAUUAUCGUCGCUUGUGUAACAUUUGUUUUCUAUUCAAACUGCACCCGAAGGCCGAAUCUUUGCGGAGCAGCGAUAGCUAAUCAAGAGGCUCUGAUAAUCUAUCAAGUUGUGCCUAAAUUAUUUAAGAAGUUUCCUCCGCAUGCAGUAGAGGUAGAGUAUGGAUACCGAAGAAAAGUUGAUUUUGGCUCAAUUUUUACCAUGGAGGAGAUAGAUAACCCUCCGAGUAGAAUUUCGUGGCCGGUUGAAAGGAAAUACGAGCGAGCAAAAUCAAGAUUUGCUCUUGGAAUGUUCGGUAACUGAUUUUUGCAUUUUUGUAUUCAGUAAAGUCAUUUGCCAGAAUUUCGGUAAUACAUCUUCAGGAAAUGUUUAAUAAAAACCACCAUCGCGGCCUAAAAACAUUUUAAAGGCCAAAGAGGUUUGAGGCUUUUCACUCGCGAUUAUACCAGGCUUUUAUCAGUGCACAUUCAAAAAUGAUUGAUUACAUCGAUACCUUCAUAAACAUUGAGCUGACAACUAUACAAAACUGAAUACCUAACGCGCCGUAUGCCUACGCAAAGCCUCAGCGAAUCAAGCAGAGGUAUAACAUAAAUUCCUCACUUCUUUCCAAAUAACCCAUGACCUUUUCUCCAUUACAAGUCCUACAAUGGGCCGAGCGCAGGCGAGGAAAACUUUUCUCCCGCUGAUUUCCAGUCCUAAACCUGUGUUAUCUCAAUUUUAUUUUUAAAAAAAUAAUUCACUUUUUGAACAUGCCCGCCGUCGAUUCGAACUUAUCUGCUUUGAUCAGUUCUGAGCCUCGAUAAAGUGUGAAAAGACAGUUUACAGUACAUGCACAUUGUACAAUUAUGUGUGCGACAUUUCCAUUUUGUACAAAUUUCUAGGAAAUGGAAACAUCAUUUGAGCCUCUUCGGACGCCACAAAUAUUAAUACCGAGUUAGCCCCAUCUUUUAUGCAAGCAGAGCCAACUUGGUGUUGGCCCUCCCAAACAUACUAAAACUUGGCAUCUCUUUCAUGUUACUCUCCGCAAAAAUGUCAUAGGAUAGUGCCGGACCUAUGCGAGUUAUUUUCGUGUAACAGCACACCCAUUUCUUUUGUUUUUUUUAAGCGUGCCUAUAGGGCUCGCUUUUUGAAAUCACUCGGAUGUACUGUAGUACAGCACACCGAUCGACCAAUGCUUUUCAAGGGGCGGUCCGAAUUUUUUUUCCGUCGGAUCCGUUCUUCCGUUUUUGAACCGUCAUAGUGUCAAGCCCUGAAGGUCAUUCAUCGAGAAACCGAAUUAUCCUGUUACUGGAAACCCUUGAGAACAUUUUCCCGUGGAAACCGUAUUAUUUUCUUUAUAGGUACGUCAAAUAAGCUUUUCUACGCUCGGAGGAUUUAAAUUAGAAGUUUAAAUGCCGCCAUAACUAUUCGCCUUACUCGUAGGUCUAGAGAGGCCGCCAUUACCCCACCUCAAAUUUUAAAAAUGAGACUAAAGAAAAAUUACCCAUCGCACAAAGAGAAAAGUUGCUCUGGAGGACUUUUUACUGACAAAGGAGCCAAAAUCAGAACUCGAUUGAUGGAUUUAAUUCAUGAAUACGCAAAUGUUGGACCAGCUCAACUGCCGCGAUUGGAAUGCAUCCUGGGAUGAACCUCGCGGCACAUGGAAGCAUAGCCCAUUUAUGGCUCACACAGAGAUUCGCUUACUUUGUCACGGGCGUCGAAGUCAACUGCGUAGCCAUCGUCACUGACGAUCAGAGUCUGUUAAAUGCUCCUUUUUCUGCGCGCCCGCUACCGGGCCGGGAUGGCGAAGCGGUUUAGAGCGCCUAAUCCUCGCGCUCACACCUAUCCGUUUUGUUGAGGGGGGGUUCAAAUCCCGUCGGGGAGGGCAAAUUUUUAUUGAUUGUAUUGAAAGUUUUAGACCAGUCAUCAACACAUAAUUGAAAAUGAUUAAUACUAGAUAAAAAAUGUACGAACAUUUUCUCGUGAGUCAAUAUGUUAAACAAAAAUACUGGAAUAUACCUCCUUCAUAUUAUCAGCCACAUGUUCACCCAAAUUAAUGAUGUUAUUUUCUUUUUUCGAUAAAGGUAAUUUGCAUUCAACGUUCGUGAAUUGUUAUGGUUUUCUAAGUUUAUUAAAAAGUACACUGGAAAAAAAAACACGAUGGAUUUAGAGUCCAGACUCUUAAAAACAUCGACAAGAAACUGGACUCUUGAUUCAAUCAGACUUUAGCUCAAGUCAAAAGGAUAUCCACUCAAAUUAAGAGGCUUGGUUUUUUAUUUAAGCUUAAAUCUGAUUGAAUGAAGAGUAUUUUUUUUGUCAAUGUUUUCAAGAGUCUGGACUCUACAUACAAUGUGUAUUUUUUUCCAGUGUACCUAUUGAUACAAAUAGAAAGACAUGAAAAUAGUAUGUCUAACAUUUCAGUUGUUUUUUUGUUUUUAAUUGUUCAAUAAAACAAAUUGACUUGGACUAGAAUCAUUGUAUCUCUGAAGAAAAAAGUUAAGUUUUUUGAAACAAAAUACUAAAAUAUUCAUCCUUCAUACAAUCAGGGAGAUGUCAACCCAAAUAAUGAUGUAACUUUCUGUGUUCACCCAAAUUAAUGAUGUUAUUUUCUUUAUGCAAUCAAAUUAUUUUACAUUCAACGUUCUUAAAGCGAUAUUUUCUCCAAAAUUUAGCAAAAAAUAACAAUUCUUACGCCCCCCCCCCCCCGCUAAAAAAAUAUAGCAACGACAUGAAAGUAGUAUAGCACACAUCCAACAUUUCACUUAUUCUUCACCCUUUUCCAACAUCUUCAUGUUGGAUCUAUCAUCUUGUUUUUCCUCAUUUAAAAGAAAAUAACACGUCGUAGUUAUCUUUUGUAAUUUUCCUCCCUUUGUUGCUUUUGGUUUUUAUUAUUUGGAAGUUCAACUAUGAUCAGCAUGUGUAAAAUACCUACUUAAGAUGAAAUUUGUUGGUUAGACUUUACAUCACAACAUACACCCUUCAAUUUUGCAGAUCCCACAUGGACAUCCAACCAGCACAAAUAGUUGUAUGAACCCGGCGUUAUGAAGGGGCGUUGUUUAGCUACUUUAAAUAAAAAGUGUCUAAGUUUUGUGGCCGCGUUUGGACAGUGGGUUAGAAUGAGAAAAACCAAAGAAUAAAAACAGCGCAUUACUUUACAUCCUUUGGCUCAUAAAAGAGAUAAAGAAGAAAAAGUUGGAAGCAAAUGACACAGGGCAUCGCCGUAUUGACUCGAAGAAAAGUAGUUCAAAUGAAAAAGUUUACACAUAUAGCUAGAACUUAUUUCAGCUAAAUACUAAUCGACACAAAUACACAUCCGAAAAAAUUAAAUACGAAAAAUGAAAAAGGAAAGAAAGAAAGACAAGAAAAUUCAAAUACUUUAUGAUAAGGCCCAGAUUUCUUUCAAAAUGAAAAAAAAUAAUGGCUUCCUGAAAAUAGCGUCAGAGGGAAAACAGUUCAACAAACUUUGAAUGACAAUGUACAUGCAAAGUCGAUACAGCAAUACUAGUAAUUAAAAAUUAAGACAAAUAAUUAAAAAUACUGCCAGUACAGCCGUUUGUCUUCCCUCAGAGGUUCCUCGCGUUUUUGCUUUGACAAUAAAGUGGUAUCAUCUGAUCAUCACAUUGGAACAGUAAAUCAAUGUCGCUUGGAAAAAUAGAAAAAAAUAAAUAACAGAAGAAAAUAAAUGACAGAAGAAAAUAAAAAAACUCGCCGUCAUGCCGCAGGAAAGGAACAACUUCUGCAAUUUUAUCAGCCAUAGGUAAAUGUUUGACUUUUGCUAAAUCAAAAGCAGAUCCCAAUAGGUAUCCAUCAUAAAAAUGGUAUACCCAAUGCUAAGUGAUUUAUCAAACAUUUUUCAAGUUCCCAUGCCGAGUAUUGCUAUCGCACUGCGAUCGCAAAAACCAGCUUGUUUUCUUUGUUCAUCCAAUAUAAUUAUGUUACUUUCUUUAUUCAAUAAAAUGUAUUUUCAUUCAACGGUAUCAAAUCAAUAAUUCCUCCCCAAUUUGCAGAGAGUACUAAUUUAUACACAUCUCGUUGAAAUGGAAAUAGUGCACACACCAGAUUUCAGUUCUUCGGCACGCUUUUCCACAUAUUCAUGUUGGAUGUUUCUUCUUGUUUCUUAUUUGUGGACAAACCCUAGCUUAAAAUUAGCUACAUAUAUUUCCGGCCAUUUAGAAAAUGGAAGCAGUGUAAAAACCAAGCGCUUAUUAUUGACCAAUCAUUUAGUCUUAUUAUUGCUUUCAGGACUGAUC